UACGAAGGGGGCUAGCGUUGCUCGGAAUUACUGGGCGUAAAGCGCACGUAGGCGGGUUCUUAAGUCGGUGGUGAAAUCCUGGAGCUCAACUCCAGAACUGCCUUCGAAACUGGGAAUCUUGAGUCCGGGAGAGGUGAGUGGAACUGCGAGUGUAGAGGUGAAAUUCGUAGAUAUUCGCAAGAACACCAGUGGCGAAGGCGGCUCACUGGCCCGGUACUGACGCUGAGGUGCGAAAGCGUGGGGAGCGAACAGG
rnacentral:rRNA from 1 species